GCAAGUCGAGCGGUAGCACAGAGAAGCUUGCUUCUUGGGUGACGAGCGGCGGACGGGUGAGUAACGCGUGGGAAUCUACCUGGUAGUGGGGGACAACAGUCGGAAACGACUGCUAAUACCGCAUACGCCCUUCGGGGGAAAGUGGGGGAUCUUCGGACCUCACGCUAUCAGAUGAGCCCGCGUCGGAUUAGCUUGUUGGUGAGGUAAAGGCUCACCAAGGCGAUGAUCCGUAGCUGGUCUGAGAGGAUGACCAGCCACACUGGGACUGAGACACGGCCCAGACUCCUACGGGAGGCAGCAGUGGGGAAUAUUGGACAAUGGGGGCAACCCUGAUCCAGCCAUGCCGCGUGUGUGAAGAAGGCCUUCGGGUUGUAAAGCACUUUCAGCUGUGAGGAAAGGCGAGUGGUUAAUACCCGCUUGCUGUGACGUUAACAGCAGAAGAAGGACCGGCUAACUCCGUGCCAGCAGCCGCGGUAAUACGGAGGGUCCGAGCGUUAAUCGGAAUUACUGGGCGUAAAGCGCGCGUAGGUGGUUCAGUCAGUCAGAUGUGAAAGCCCCGGGCUCAACCUGGGAACUGCACCUGAUACUGCUGAGCUAGAGUACGGUAGAGGGUAGUGGAAUUUCCGGUGUAGCGGUGAAAUGCGUAGAGAUCGGAAGGAACACCAGUGGCGAAGGCGACUACCUGGACCGAUACUGACACUGAGGUGCGAAAGCGCGGGUAGCAAACAGGAUUAGAUACCCUGAUAGUCCACGCCGUAAACGAUGUCAACUAGCCGUUGGGGGACUUGAUCCUUUAGUGGCGAAGCUAACGCGAUAAGUUGACCGCCUGGGAGUACGGCCGCAAGGUUACAACUCAAAGGAAUUGACGGAA
rnacentral:rRNA from 1 species